UCACUUCCUUCAUGGUCCUUGGCUCAGGCAUCCGCCUAAUAGCUGCUACACGCCCUGGAUCCAUCCGCAGACGUCCUCCACCCACUAUGAAGCCGAGAGUCCGAAAGGCAUCACACGGAACUGGUAAAGAGGCCGACCAGGAACCGUAAAGGCUGUGUAUUCCUUGCUGCCCGUGUCCAACUCAAUCUGCCAUAAAGCGAACUUCAAAUCCACGCUGGAAAUGUAGUACGUUUGGUCAAUUCUGGACAGAAUGCCGUCUAUGCUGGGCAACGGAUCUUGAUACUACGGUGGUGCGGUUGCUCCAGGGGCUUUUGCUCUCCUCGAUGACUCCGAGCGCCAGCAUCUUGUCGACCUCGUCC